GAACCAAUUACUGCCGAGCAAUUGAUAGAAAAGCACAAAGUUAUGGGAAGCAGCGAUUCGGUGCCCGGGCGCAGCUGGACCCGAAAUCUCUCGCGUCCGUUCCAGGCUCGGGAUGCGAACAAUUAUGGUAUGAAACAGUGGUUCAAGCGUGGGCCCAAGACGUGGGAGGGACGAAGGAUGCGGGCUGGCUAACUGGGCAGUGGACCAGGAAGUCAACGAUUUGGCCAGGCCACGGAUCAGAUUAGGUGUCCAGCACGUCGGGGACAAGGGCGUCCCUCUCCUUUGGGCUGGGCUGGUUCGUUCUGGAAACCCUCGCCGCCACCCUGUUCGGGCCAAAACACCGCUAUCUGACUUGCGGCGGCGCUCGUUCUUAGCCGGCGCCAACGGGGGGAUGGAGGAUGCUAGUAUGGAGUUCGUGCUUGACGCCGUUGACAGGUUUCCCCUGAGAGAGGAAUUCGCUGACAACCUUGAGCACCCAGAUCCGAUUACCCUCGUCUUCCUGGCCGACGACGGAGCCGGUCAUAUGUGGUUCCCGCGGAAUCUAAUGCUAUGGGUCUGGUUGUGCGGAAAAGGUCGGAGACGAUGGAACAGGUAGAGCGCGUGAAGGAGCUCGCCGUGGCCGUAAUGCAUCUCCGACAAGGUCGGCGCAGUCGACUGACAGAGUCAAUCCACAAGCGCCUGGCUGGAUAAAAAGGAAGAGCUUUGUAGGGAUGAUGCUGAAACUGACUGGGAUUACAUCAGCACUAUGAUGAAUUCAGAAGUGAUGGGCUAUAGGAUUGACUGGCUGAAGAAGUUCAUGUUCCCGGUGAAUUUAAUGGAUCGUUAGUCAUUGUACAUCCCGGAUACGGAGAGGAAAAUUAUGAUGGUGCUUGACCCUACUGAGACUGAUCCAACAGAUGAGAUGAAAAUCAAACAUGAGGAACUAGCAAAGAAGUUCCAGCAUAGGUUCUGCACCAUAUUCAAUGACUUUCGGUGCUGGGUUGGUGACACCCGUGGAUGGUCAUUUGUGUACCCGUUGGUGGGGCAACACGAGCCAUGCAGCAGGUAAGACAGUGGAGUGUAUAUCGUGCACUACUUUCGGACUGAUUGCAGCUUGGCAAGAUCUUUUGGCUGUGCGAGUGAUGAACGUUAGAUUAGCUUGAUUGAGAUCACGUGUCAUUUUGCAUCGGAAAACCCCUGCCAGCUUGUACGCGUGGCGAACUAUGGACAUGGGUCGUGUUUCGAGAUGGAAAUCUACUUAGUUUAAAUUACUGUACUCACGUGUUAGAUGUUAUGUUAUGAGUGGCCAUCUGUCUAAAUUGGCACAUUCUGAAUUUGGAACUACUUAUGUUUGUUUGAUCUACUGUUUGCAUGCACUCUCUCAAUGACUCUGAUCAUAUGCCGUGGAAAAAAAAUUACCAUGGAUAUGUGCAAAUUUGUGAUGACAAAGUCUGCACAAUCA